ACUCCUACGGGAGGCAGCAGUGGGGAAUUUUGCGCAAUGGGGGAAACCCUGACGCAGCAACGCCGCGUGAGUGAUGAAGGCCCUUGGGUCGUAAAGCUCUGACAGAGGGAAAGAAAUGUGGGUGGCUAAUAUCCAUUCCACUUGACGGUACCUCAAAGGAAGCACCGGCUAACUCCGUGCCAGCAGCCGCGGUAAUACGGAGGGUGCGAGCGUUGUUCGGAUUUAUUGGGCGUAAAGCGCGUGUAGGCGGUUUUAUAAGUCUGAUGUGAAAGCCCCGGGCUCAACCUGGGAAGUGCAUUGGAUACUGUAAGACUUGAAUACGGGAGAGGGCAGUGGAAUUCCUGGUGUAGGAGUGAAAUCCGUAGAUAUCAGGAGGAACACCGGUGGCGAAGGCGGCUGCCUGGACCGAUAUUGACGCUGAGACGCGAAAGCGUGGGUAGCAAACAGGAUUAGAUACCCUGGUAGUCCACGCUGUAAACGAUGAGAACUAGGUGUCGCGGGUA
rnacentral:rRNA from 1 species